ACUAACACAGUCUCUCCUCAUAAUGAAAAGCCAGACUGUAAAACAUUGACCGUGGUCUGUUCAUCACAGGGUCCAGUGAAAAGCAGCAGCCCCUGUGCAUCAGUGCCAACAUUGUCACAAAAGCCUCAGCCGACUGUAGAGCAGAAUGUGAAGGAGUGCGCAGAGACGACCAGUGAGGCCAAACCAGCUCCACUUCCACAGGAACCAGUCACAGAGUCCAAGAGGCCAAGCUACGCCCAGAUCUGCCAGAGAGCAUCAUCCAAUGAGCCGAUGCCGCCCGCUGACCUCGCCUCUUCAGAGGCAGAGCGCAUCCCGACCUUUCCGGGCCAGGCGUCCCAACCAGCUCUGUUGCCACGAUGAUCAUAUUGGGUGGAGAAAAAGACACUUUUCUUUGUCUUUUUAAAGGUGUCAUAUAAGCUGAAAAUGUAUUCUUGUAGUGUCCUUUGAUCAAAGCAGCUGCUCAUUUACUACGAGGAGGACUCUGUGUGUGCAGAGUGAUGUGGUGUCACUCACAGUGCAGGAAGAUACUGCAUUUAGCAACAAACAGCCUUUAAAAGGAACUCAAUUUAGCUCUAGAUCUAGAAACGUAUCCCUUCAUAAAUGGAGGGGGUCUGCUGGCCGGUUUAGGACAGGAUGGGCCAGUGUAGGUCUGGGGUCGCAACCUCUCAGUUUUAGUGCUUAGAGCGA
rnacentral:lncRNA from 1 species